AUUAAAUCACUAUGAGUAAAUUACAUACAAAGUACUGCAUUAUACUAUGCUGUAAUUAAUUGCUUAUACUCUAUACAGAUUAUUGUUUUAGUGCAGGAACUCAGAAAUGCACAGCUGUGAUCAUAAAAUAAUUUCUAUCAUGACAACUCUCAGAAGAAUUUAGCAUGUUAAUGGAUAUGACAAUGUUAAUGUAUUUGGUCUUGGCAGAAAAGAUCAGCUGCUGCUGCUGAAGAGCAAAUACAGAGACUUGCUGCUACUGUCAAAACAUGCACAAUACAUACACUCUACACUGCUGCUGCACAAAUAGCAUAUAUGAAAUUACCCAUAGCAGAUCUAUACAGGUGGAGCUGGGGAAGGUGGAGGGUUUCUGAGGAACUCUGAAAGUGUGCUGAAAACUUCUAUAGCAAACAUUAAUCAACUAUUUAAAUGUUGAGCAGCAAGCUCAUUGGCUACAGAUGAAACAGGAACCAAUCAGCUUGAGCCUUGUAGUUAACAAUGUGAUUGUCAGCAGCUUGUGCUAAGAACCCAUCAGCCUGCGGCAUCUGGAGUUUCAUGACAGAACUUGGUAUUAGUUAAAAACAUAAGCUCCAAAAAAAAAAAAAAAAAAAAAAAAAAUUUUAAGAAUUAUACUAUAAAUGAUUAUAUCCUUAUAUACUGUAAAAUAUAUUAUACAAUGGUUUGUCUUCCCUAAAAUAUAAAUUAUCACUAGCUAAAUGAGAUUAAAGCAUUUAAGUUACAUGCAGUUGAAAAAAAAAAAUGUGUAUUAGUAUGAGAACAGCAAAGUGCAAUGAAUAAUACAGAAAAUAAACAAAACAAUAAAUAAACUUGCUUAAAAUAAACCAAUAAUCACCACGAGGUGGCACAUGUUCCUGUUGUGUGAGUGUUUACUCUGUGACAUACAAUGCGGUUUGCACUGUAAUUUGAUGUAAUAUGUGGUACUAACUGGAGUCAGCUAAUUUUCUGGUUCUUUAAAAGCAUCAAAAUGAGAAAGUUCAAAUAGUCACAAUUAUCCUUACUGGAUUUGAUUGACUAUUUUACUGAAUUUUUUUCCACAGGCCAAUGUGAAAUUUCGACAGUAAGCACAUAGAAACUUGUGAUGUCUGAAAUUAUCCAAAAGAGGGCGCUCUUCACUCAAAAAUGAAAAUAAACUGAACCAAUUCUUCAAAGGGCACAUGAGAGGAGGAGAUACAAGGUACUGUAAUUACUUCAGGCAUGCAGAAGUUUUAGAGAUAGUUCAACAUAGCUGUUCAUUUUUUUCUCUGUCAGAAAUGAUAUUCCUAUUUUGUCUGUGUCUUAUCUUCCUCUUAACAGGUGAUGCCUCUAGUGAGGGAAUAGCACCAGUCUCUCCUAAUAAAUUAGUCUCAGAAGGUAAAACAAUCACCCUGUCCUGCAGUUACAAUGGAUCUGCUGCUACAGAUGCUCUCCACUGGUAUCGUCAGUACCCGAAAUCCAGACCAGACUUCCUGUUUCUGGUUAGUGAAGCUAAAUUUAAGCAACCAGCUGAGCCUCCAAUUCCUGGAAUAUCUGCUAGAUUAAAUGAGGAGAAGAAUCGUGUGGAUCUGGAGAUCAAUGGCACUGCAUUAACUGAUUCUGCUCUGUAUUACUGCGCCCUGCAGCCCACAGUGACAGGAAACACACACCCACUGUACAAAAAUCAGACACAUUCAGAAUGGAAACUGAAAUCUGUGUGUCUGUGCUCAAUGUUCAGGAACUGUUGGAUGAUUGUGCAUUUGGGCAUUUUAAUCCAGCACUUGGGAGGGAUCCAAUGAUUAAGAUAGAGAUUUUGAGUUCCAAUUAUCUUAUCAUUGUCUCGUUAAAUAAACAACUGACCUGUUGUUCAAGAACACAGAAUAUGUGUCACUAUGAAAUACAUAAUACCAGAAUUCUAAUAAAUGUAUUUGACUCAAUGAAUGCGCUCACCACACACCAGCUGUAGGUGGAGAGGAGAGAAAGUAAUACAGCCAAUUCAAUGGAUAGAGAUUUAAAAACAUUCUAACAAUUCAGACAUUUUUUAUGCUCAUGAUCAAAGCUUUUCUUUCUUCUUUUUCAUUACUGCAUAUUUUCCUGGCAUAUGCAUACAAACAUAUUGAUAUAUCUAAAUUAUUCAUUAUUGAAGUAUGGUGUGAUCACAGGUUUGUUGCCACUUUAAAUAUCAUUGUCACAUUUUGCAUCAUAAAUCUUUUUCUCAUAUGAAAAACUAUAUAUUAAUAUGUAAAAUGUAUUUCACAGUCUUCCAUGUAUGACAUGUUUUUGUAAUCAUAAUCACACUGAGAUAUGUGGGUGGAGCUUCAAGAGAUUGUGUUGGCAUUCAUUUCUUAUAUG